CUGGAUGAGAAGGAAAAAUGGAACUACUGACCCUUAGGGAUAGGACUGUUGUUUAAAAAAACUCUUCAGGUGAAAAUUCUCUACUCAUACAUAAGAUGAACGGCCUUAGCAGUUAUUGAAGGCUCCAGUGUUCACAUCAGAGCUAUAAUUCACGUUGUAAUUUGCGACACAGAUUUAAGCAUACAGUGUAUCGUGUGUGCUAUAUUAUGUAGCUUUGCAACGAUGAAGCGAAGAACAGGAAUGUGGAACACUGAAACCUGAGAACCCUAGAUGGGAAAAACUUCACAUAAAGUCCAUAUUAAGCCUCUCCAAUAUUUUCUCCAGUUGCAUUGCCUUAAAAAUAUACAAAGUUAACCACGUAUAUUUUAAAACAUAAAGGCUAAAGGGAACACAUGGCUCAUCUUUUAAAUCAAGGCUGACGAUCCUUGGCAUUCAAGAAGUUAGCUGUCCUCCCUCCCUCCCUCUCUCCCUCCCUCCCCUCCUUCUUUCUCUCCUCUUUCUUUCUUUCUUGCUUUCUUUUUUCUAUAGGGAUCCAACCAAGGCAGC
rnacentral:lncRNA from 1 species